rnacentral:lncRNA from 1 species
GAUCAGCAAUGGCUACUGCCUUCACUUCAACUUCUAUAUCAGACGAUGAAAGAAGAUGGGUUGUCAUUGGUGUAUGUUUGACCAAAGUGCUUACUCCUGCAUUGAGGAAUGUUCUUGCAACCGAAAUAGCAAACUGGCAUCAGGUUUUAUGUCAACCGCCGAGCGAAAUCGACAAACAAGUUUAUGGUCGACAUAAAAUACAGUUAAACCCAUCAACUUUAGACCUCAAGUAUAAAAAUAUCAACAACAAUCAUACCCUCAGAUCACCUCGCGCAUUUAAUUAUGCAGUUACAGAUCCGUUGUCUUUGGCAAAGUUGUUUGUUCAGCCUUUCAUGUCCAAGUUCACUGGCUUUGAUCAAACAAUGGACAUAUCUGCAGUCUUAUCAGUGAUUUGUGAAGCUGCCCCAUUUGUAGGAGCUGCUGCUCAUGCAAAGACGAUUCGAUCAGAUAUCAGAAACGAGUGGGCACAUUGCAACUUUGUAAAUUGGACUGAAGCGAAGUUUAUUGCUGCCUUUCAAAGUAUGGAAACUUUACUUAAGAAUGUCAAUUUGUCACCUGUAGAUGAACAGAAAUUUUGUGAUGAACUGAAUAGUUGGAAAGGUAAAGAAAUUACAUCUCACUUGCCUAGAUAAAAACUGUUUGUCUUACUGGACGCUUAAACUCAUCUAUAUUCAGAGAGAUUUGCAAUGAAGAUUAAUUCCUUACAAUCGUAAAAUGUUGACAUCAAUCUAACAUAUUAUCUCCUCAAUUAGACAGAAAUUUCGAGUGUCAAUUUUAUACAAUUUUAGACCUAACCAGGAGCAGCUGCGAAAAUGCAACUGUGGGCCUUCUGACAGGAAUCGAAUUACCAACUCUGCGAUUCCGGUCGAGCACUAGCUCUAACCAACUGAGCUAGACAGAGUGCAGUUGUCGAGCUUAAACUGCAAGUUCAACUGUUAAAGCUCCUCAGCUUGGUUUGGUAGCUCGCUUAGAGUGUUGCACUUGAUUUACAGGGCGGCAGGUUCGAUUCCUGGCAGAUUAGCCCUAUACUGUAGUUGCAUUUUUUACAGCUGUUUUUGGUUAGGUUUAAAAAUGAAUAAAUUUUAUAUUCGAAAUUUCUAUUUACAAGAACCAUUCAACAUUUAGUUCUGUCUCCUCUAUUAACCUAUUACCCGAACCUUGCAGGGAAAAAAUUAUCACAACUUACGAUGUUCCACAAACGUUCAAAAUAGGCUGUGUAAAAUAUCAUUUAUAUAUCGUCCCAUUUCUGUAGUCUUGUUCAAAAUAUGUUGUUAGUAGUUUGUAAACUUAAUUAGUAUUUUACGGCUAUUUGUAAACUAGCAAGAACUAGCCUUUCACGUCUGACAAAGGUUAUUUAAUUUAAUACAUAAAUAAAUUUGUUACAGGGUUGCAGUUGUGUUUCGCUCAAACUGUCGACGUUGAAAUCUUGACUUUACUCCGGAGUGAAAUCGACAAAGUUCGCGAAGCUGUCGAGACAUGGAUGCUAAAGAAAAAUCAG